rnacentral:rRNA from 1 species
GACGAAGGAUGCAAGCGUUAUCCGGAUUCAUUGGGUUUAAAGGGUGCGUAGGCGGACUUGUAAGUCAGUGGUGAAAUCUCUCAGCUUAACUGAGAAACUGCCAUUGAUACUGCAGGUCUAGAGUACAGAUGAUGUGGGCGGAAUAUGACAUGUAGUGGUGAAAUACUUAGAUAUGUCAUAGAACACCGAUUGCGAAGGCAGCUCACAAAACUGUAACUGACGCUGAGGCUCGAAAGUGUGGGGAUCAAACAGG